rnacentral:ncRNA from 1 species
AUUAGAGCGAUGAACAAGAGGAGUAAAAUGACUUUGUUUACGAGAGAGGGAAGACUUGGUGCAACUUCCUAGCAAAUUCAUUUGAAGGUAGCUUGUGAGCUUACUCUACGAAAAGAAGUAAUAGAGUACGGAGACGACACUUCGUUACCAACAUCGAGGCGUAAUGAAUUUUUACGCGAAUAUUAGGUGGUACCACGAAUUUAAUCGUCCUAUGG